rnacentral:rRNA from 1 species
UGGGGAAUAUUGGACAAUGGAGGAAACUCUGAUCCAGCAAUUCUGUGUGUGUGAAGAAGGUUUUAGGACUGUAAAACACUUUUAGUAGGGAAGAAAAAAAUGACGGUACCUACAGAAGAAGCAACGGCUAAAUACGUGCCAGCAGCCGCGGUAAUACGUAUGUUGCGAGCGUUAUCCGGAAUUAUUGGGCUUAAAGGGCAUCUAGGCGGUAAGACAAGUUGAAGGUGAAAACCUGUGGCUCAACCAUAGGCUUGCCUACAUAACUGUUGAACUAGAGUACUGGAAAGGUGGGUGGAACUACACGAGUAGAGGUGAAAUUCGUAGAUAUGUGUAGGAAUGCCGAUGAUGAAGAUAACUCACUGGACAGAAACUGACGCUGAAGUGCGAAAGCUAGGGGAGCAAACAGG